GCCUGGGUGGCUCAGUCGGUUAAGUGUCUGACUUCAGCUCAGGACAUGAUCUCACGGCUUGUGAGUUCAAGCCCCAUGUCAGGCU
rnacentral:tRNA from 1 species